rnacentral:rRNA from 1 species
UACGAAGGGGGCUAGCGUUGCUCGGAAUCACUGGGCGUAAAGCGCACGUAGGCGGAUUGCUAAGUCAGGGGUGAAAUCCUGGAGCUCAACUCCAGAACUGCCUUUGAUACUGGCAAUCUCGAGUCCGGGAGAGGUGAGUGGAACUGCGAGUGUAGAGGUGAAAUUUGUAGAUAUUCGCAAGAACACCAGUGGCGAAGGCGGCUCACUGGCCCGGUACUGACGCUGAGGUGCGAAAGCGUGGGGAGCAAACAGG